AGAAGUUGGACAACUGCAAGUCAGCUUUAAUUUCAGUUUAAUGUCGAUACGAACUGUAAAUCACAGAGAUACACGGUGAAAUUUACUUUAGAAAACCUUUCUAUUGAAGUUUUUUUAUGUUUCUUAGCAAACAAUGAUUGAGCUCGGCACUACGAAACCAUCGACAGUCAGGUUAACAAUAACCUUGAAUUUCAAUAUUCCCCUGAACACCAUUCAUCACAAUCAAAGUUUCCAUUCUUUUGAUGUCAUCUAAUUGUUUAAAAUGAAAUGAAAAUUGUCAAACUCACGAUUCCGCAACAAAAACCUGGCCAAUUUUUGCUGGAGAUGUUUACAAUAAGAUUUGCCUCAGUCUUUCCCGUGGAUUUGCACUACAAAAAUCUCUCAUAAAAUGGAUAUCAACAGAUUGGAGACUUUUUGUCAUUACUAAUUAGUGUUAAAAUUGGUAUACAAUUAACCAAAAAAAAACAAUAUCUGUACUGUCAAAAGCAAAACUACUGUUUGGACUAAAGAGGAAAAAAGGUUGAUAAUCUGAUGCAAAAUAUCUCAAGAAUAAUGAAAAAAUUCACCAACUCCUACUGAGCUCUUAUUUUCCUGAUUUCAUUUCCAUUGUUAUGCCUUGGUUUUGUUUUUGGAAAGUCAAGAUGAUCGUAAAAAUUUGCGCUUUACUGGCUCAAUUUUCGUAUAACUUUCAAUUGAAAAGAUACGUCCGAAUACACUCUUAAAACCAGUCCAUUCUCAUUGGUUGUGUGGUUAAUGAUUACACUCUUUUUUUAAUCGGAUAUUCAUUGAAUUCGCUAUACCCGUCAAAGUUAUGCUAUUGUUCAUUUUGAAUUAUGCUCAAGGAUUUGGCAAUUUGUUGAUUUUCAGCUCAUGUUGAUACCCUCAACAUUUUUUGACUAUAACUCCAUUUUUGACAAUCAUCACCAUCAUAUUAACUCAUGUUCUUGAACCACUUUCACUGCCAACAAAUGAUGCAAUUUACCGGUUGAUUAACUUGGAAAUAUUGAUUGAAGCAAAAAAAAAUCACUGGAAGUAUCAACAUUCAAGCUCCUUAUUACCAGAUUUUUCGCAUCCAUUAUAAAUGAAAUUCAGAGUUUCCUGAAAUUAUUCAAGUCUCUACCAGUCAGUCUCUAUGCAAACCAAUAUUUUUCAAGACAAUUUUUAAUCAAGCUUAACGGCGAAUGAUCAUUGCUAUCAAAUGGGAAAUCUGAGUGCACAGAAAUAUAAACCUUGAGCUCUAUUUCAAUCUCAAUACCACUGAUUGCCAAUAAUUAAUUACGGAUAGCCUUCACUUUCUUAAUUGUGACGAGUGCCAAUCAUCAAGUCAAUCAAUAUGCGCUAAAUACAUGUUUAUGUGUAUUACCGACACUCAACUGAAGACUUAAGUCUGUAAACUGUGUAUCUUUAGAUUUUUUUCAACAAUUUUUUUUCACACAAAAUCUUCUGAUUGUCAACUGUUUUCAGAUAAACAAAAGGUUGCCUGAAACAAUCGACUGAAUCAGAUUAACAAUAAAAAAAUACAAGCUUCAUGAAAGUUUAUUUGUGCAUCAAACACUGCAAAAAAUAUCUCAAUUGUAAAUCUUGUCCUGGAUUUUAUAAUUUAUGAACAAAGAUUGUAUUUUCCCCUUUUGUCUUAUCAGAGUUAAUUGUGUUCAUAAUGUUUCCUUCAAACUAUCUGAUUGUAUUUUCCUGACAGACUUUCAAAUGAAUAUUAAUCUCAUUGAUUAAAAAAAUAUAUCAAGAAUGGUAAAUCUUUUUUCCUCAAUCAUCAUUAUUCUCAUCUCAUCGGAUGAACAAUUGAUUGCCUGGUGUAAAAUUUACUCGAUUUCAUGCCCUAAUAAUGUAUCUAUUGUUACAAACCUUAAGUGAACGAUAAAGCUUAACCAAACAUCUCACACUAAUAAACUUUCACCCCUUAAUUGAUUA